rnacentral:rRNA from 1 species
GACGAACGCUGGCGGCGUGCUUAACACAUGCAAGUCGAACGGAAAGGCCUGCUUUCCCUUGUGGAUUGCGGGUACUCGAGUGGCGAACGGGUGAGUAACACGUGAGUGAUCUGCCCCCAACUUGGGUAUAAGCCUGGGAAACUGGGUCUAAUUCCCGAUAGGACUGCAGGGUGGUGCCUGUGGUGGAAAACGAUUUUCUAGUGGUUGGGGAUGAGCUCGCGGCCUAUCAGCUUGUUGGUGGGGUAAUGGCCUACCAAGGCGGCGACGGGUAGCCGGCCUGUGAGGGGGGACGGCGAAACUGGGACUGGGAUACGGCCCAGACUCCUACGGGAGGCAGGAGUUGGGAAUAUUGCACAAGGGGCGGGAGCCUGAUGCAGCGACGCCGUGUGGGGGAUGACGGGCUUCGGGUGGUAAACUCCUUUCGACCGCGAGGAAGCCACCUGGUUGGAAGGGUGGUGACGGUAGUGGUAGAAGAAGCACCGGCUAACUACGUG